rnacentral:rRNA from 1 species
UACGUAGGGGCCUAGCGUUGUCCGGAUUUAUUGGGCGUAAAGAGCUCGUAGGCGGUCUGUUGCGUCCGCUGUGAAAACUCGGGGCUUAACCCCGAGCCUGCAGUGGAUACGGGCAGACUAGAGGUAGGUAGGGGAGAAUGGAAUUCCCGGUGUAGCGGUGAAAUGCGUAGAUAUCAAGAGGAACACCUGAGGUGAAGACGGGUUGCUGGGCCGACACUGACGCUGAGUGCGCGAAAGCCAGGGGAGCGAACGGG